GACGAACGCUGGCGGCGUGCUUAACACAUGCAAGUCGAACGGAAAGGCCUGCUUUCCCUUGUGGAUUGCGGGUACUCGAGUGGCGAACGGGUGAGUAACACGUGAGUGAUCUGCCCCCAACUUGGGUAUAAGCCUGGGAAACUGGGUCUAAUUCCCGAUAGGACUGCAGGGUGGUGCCUGUGGUGGAAAACGAUUUUCUAGUGGUUGGGGAUGAGCUCGCGGCCUAUCAGCUUGUUGGUGGGGUAAUGGCCUACCAAGGCGGCGACGGGUAGCCGGCCUGAGAGGGUGGACGGCCACAGUGGGACUGAGAUACGGCCCAGACUCCUACGGGAGGCAGCAGUGGGGAAUAUUACACAAUGGGCGGAAGCCUGAUGCAGCGACGCCGCGUGGGGGAUGACGGCCUUCGGGUUGUAAACUCCUUUCGACCGCGAGGAAGCCACCUGGUUGGAAGGGUGGUGACGGUAGUGGUAGAAGAAGCACCGGCUAACUACGUG
rnacentral:rRNA from 1 species